UAAUAAAGACAGAAAAAGGAAGCCCCGCUGGAACAGGACUUCCCGUGCAAGCCGCUUCAAAGGCGGUGGCCUUAGCUAAAGAACGAUAUC
rnacentral:sRNA from 1 species